UUACUCAACACUAGGUUUAAUAAUUUAAAACCAGGGAUCCUAUCAAAGCUCAAUGAAGGCAAUUAUAUAUUAUAAUAUUUAUGUGUGCGAUGCAUGGAAGAUUAAUUAUUAUUACGUUUGACAUUAUCCUUUUAAUCCAUUGUUCAAAUAUUAUUCCAAGGUCCCUGAGCCCAACAGCGUUGAUGGCGAUAUUAACACCCUCUUGUCCUCCUACUAAUCCUCGUCCCGCCUCUUUUUUGAAUAAAUUCCACUACAAAUUUUAUGAUUAAUAUAUUAUUUCUGUAAAUCUUUCUUUAUUGCCUUAAAUAACCUUUAUUUAUUCGCACUUCAACGUUCUCCUUAAAGUUAAACAUAUUCUUCUUACCAAACUAAUCAUAUUUCUAAAAAUUUUACAACACCCUUUUUUCUUUUUGCUUUAUUUUUAACUAGAGAAAAAAAAAAGAAACCAUUAACUAUAUAAAUGGGGUUUUUUGAGAAUAAUACGGGGGUGCUAGUGGCUCCAUAAAACCAUCAAACUAAUUGUCAAAUGAGUUGUAUGAGGCCCAUUUAGUAGCCCGACUUUUGAGGCAAGUCAGCCUGCCAAGCCCACUAGAUGAAGUCGAAGAUCACUUAUAAAAUGCACUAUAGAACUCUCAUAACCAUGCGAAUUUAUUAGAGUUGAAACAGCAAUGUUUAUGAUUACAAAUUUGUGCUUUAAUAUAAUAAUAUCCGAAUGCCCGCACUAAAGAAAGAACUGUUAUUUUAUUUUAAUAUGACGAUCAAUUUGCUUUUAUUUCAUACGUAAUUGACAUAAGUAGGAGAAAUUUUAGAAUACAUCUGUUGUGUUACAAUCAAUUAAUGCAUGCAUGACAUGUGUAAUUGAGUCUAAUAUAAUCACCACUUGCAUGAUAGUUUACAAAAUAAAUGCAUACAUAUCAUAAUAUUAUUUGCUGUUGUAUGACUGACAUGGUACAACAGAUAUAUUCUAAAAUUUCUCCAUAACUAGAUGCUGGUUCACCGCUUAACACCAUACCCCCAUACACCAACUGACCUAGUUGCGGGAUUUCAUCUGAAAAGAAAAUGAACCGAAGCGAAAAAAGCAAAAUUAGAAUCUUGAUAAUUAUUAAUAUAUUUCUAUUAAAUUCAUAUGCAGAAUCUUUUCUUAUACAGUUUGGAAUGCUCCUGCCUUUGAUGAAUCCAAUAACGUUACAAUCAUUUUAGCCAACUCAAAUUGUUUUCCUUCUUAGGUUCCUUUCCUUUCCUUACCAAGCACGUAGAUUCAUAUCCUGACGCUAACACUUUCGAUUUCAACAUUGAAAAAAAAGAAAAAAGAAAAGGAUUAUCAGUUGUCACAUUCCAAAAAUGACAAUCAAAUGUACAAACCAAAAAUACAAGAAAGUCAGUCGUCUUGUACUCUUGUUCACACAGUUCACACCAACCCAUCAUCAAUAACGUUUCGGUUUCUUCUUCUAUUUUGUUUCCUUUACUAUAUCUAUAAAACAAGCAAGAGAAAUCCCGUAUAAGAAAAAUAAAAAUGGAGGGUCUCAGGGCUUACCAGAUUUUAACUUGUGUCUCAUUUUUUGUUCUCUUUCCAGUAAUUCACUGUUGGGGCAAUGACGGGCAUGUCGCAGUUUGCAGAAUUGCUCAGGUUUUUUAUUUUUUGUAUCAUCUUACUUGUGUGUUGCUAGUUUCCAGGCUUUCCUUUAAUUUCUUUUGAGUCAUUUGGUUUAUGUUGUGUUUCCAGUCUCGGCUGAGCGAAGCCGCAGCAGAUGCGGUGAAGCAACUGCUUCCAGAAUCAGCAGAUAAUGACUUGGGAAGUGUGUGCACGUGGGCAGACCAUGUCAAGUUUCAUUAUCAUUGGUCUUCUGCUCUUCAUUUCAUUGACACCCCAGAUAAUCUCUGCACAUACCAGUACAACAGUAAGCCUAACGACUUAUAGAUCAAGUUUAACUCAAGACUCAUUGACAUGUUUCGACACGCUGAUGUUUUGGAUCUUUAGGGGAUUGCAAGGAUGAAGAUGGGGUAAAAGGAAGGUGCGUUGCUGGGGCUAUUAACAAUUACACGACCCAGCUUCUCAGCUACAACUCUGCUUCUUCCUCUCAUUCUGAAUGUAAAUCCUCUCCUCAAGCCUUUUGUUUUUGUUCUUGUUACAAAUAGUUCAUGAUUUUUGAUGAACCCCCCUUGUGGCCCUUUGUCUCAAUCUCUCCGUUAAAGACUUAACUUUAAUACUAGUGUCGGCCACUUAUCUAAACAGUUUUCUUCUUGGUGGACGAUAUUCUAUGUUGUAAUCAGAUAACCUCACAGAAGCACUACUCUUCCUUUCUCAUUUUAUCGGCGACAUUCAUCAGGUAAGAUAAUAAGAACGCAGGUUUAUUCGCUGCAUUGUGUUAAAUUUAUCAACAAGAACGCAUUAUUAGCCCAGCAUAGAUGGUACUAUUCAUCCAAUUUUUGCAGCCUCUGCAUGUGGGAUUUACCUCAGACAGGGGAGGCAAUACAAUUGAUGUCCAUUGGUACACAAGAAAGCAAGUUCUUCACCAUGUGAGUGAGACUCAUUUCCAAACCACUACGCAAGUUGGUUAAAAUUUUAACUGUAUACUAAUUUUGAAGCAUACAGGUUUGGGAUAACAACAUAAUUGAAACAGCAGAAGAAAGGUUCUAUAACUCAAAUAUCGAUGGCCUUGUUGAUGCAAUACAGCAGAACAUUACGGUAUCUCACCUCACAAAAUUUUGCCAGCUGAAAAUUCCUUUUCAGUACUUGAAUUAAUAUUUUUAUCUUUGUACUCCAUGAUCUAUUUUAACAUUUUUCUCUUGAUGAUAAUGAAAAUAACAGACUGACUGGGCAGAUCUAGUAAAAAAAUGGGAGACUUGCAGCGCAAACAAUACAGCUUGCCCGGAUGUGUAUGGUCCUCAACCUUUAUAUAAGUUUAAUUCCUAGCCACAAAAAAAAAAAAAAAAAAAACCAAAACGAAAUUGGAUAAACAUUUAUUGUCCCAAAAGCCCCAUUUCAGGCCAAAAAUCUACAAUGAGAACGAUAAAUUAUAUAUAAUUGAAAUGGGGUUCUUUCUGCAGAUAUGCAUCUGAAGGCAUCAAAGCGGCCUGCGACUGGGCUUAUAAAGGUGUAAGUGAAGGAUCAGUACUAGAAGGUAAGCAAUAAAUUCUUGUGAAAUUACUAUGCAUCUUCAUAAUUCAUUCCUAUAUAUUGGAAAAAUAACAUAGAAAGAGCUUGCAGAUGAAUAUUUCAACUCUCGUUUACCCAUAGUAAAACUGCGGUUAGCUCAAGGUGGAGUUCGACUGGCAGCCACUCUUAAUCGUAUCUUUGGAUGAAAAUGUAUUUGCUUCCACCUCGUUUAUCAAAGCAUGCCUCCAGAUUUGAUCGCAUGGAGUUAUUACGAAGUUGCAUAAGUGAACUUAAUUUUCAGUUUUGGGGGCAUUGCUUGCAAAUGUUGAAAAUGUUAUUCUUCGAAAGUGUAAUAGAAUUCUGCGGUCAAAGCUAUUACUCUGUUAACUACUUCUGAAAUAAGCAGGCUCUUAGCAUUCACUAAAGACGUCCCACGUAGUCAUUCCAAAUUAGAUAAUGCAAAUAAUUUACAUCUGAAUAUCAUAUCAGACAAUAUUUUAUCCAAAAUAGAUUUCAUCAGGCAUAAACACAUACAGAACACUGAUUAGUUCUGAUUUGGACAUCUCGUUCCUCAUUGUUUCUUCACUACCAGAACAGGACAUUUCGCAUUCUGAAUGCAGUAAUCGCUUACGCUCCCGAUCAAAGACCCGUAGGAAACUGAUAACGUCAGCUUUCACUAUUAUAGUAUAUGAUAUAACUAUAUUGUUGAAGCUUUUGACUCUUUACCAAAUGAUACUCACGAAUCUUGAUGAAUUAAGCUAAAUGAAACUGAAUCAGAACAAGAAAUUUAUAACCCAGAACAAUUCCAGAAAGAUUGCACAAUAUAGUAAUCAAGCAAGUUGUGAAGAAAAAUCUGCUCUCUUUUAUUGAUCAAAAACACUCACAAUACAAUGGAUUUUACAGAAGACGUUACGCAGAUCAACAAAUGAAGAAGAAAGAGCUCAUGCAUCAGGUGCUGCUGGUCAGCUCAUUUUAAUGCUGGCGUCUCUGGAAAUAUAGUAACAGAAUAUAACUAGUUCUGCCACAUUAGCACCAAAACAUCAUUUAGCCCCCUUAACUAAAGUUAAACUGCACAAAUGCCCCUAAAAUGCCUUUCAUGUUGCAUUUGAGUCCAAAAACUCAGAUGCCUAUAUCUUCACAUUCUCCACCUUGCAGCUGAUUUCAGUUGAUCCUUCAAUAAAGCAGCAUCUAAAAACCUUCAACCAACUACAAUUCACUCUUGAAUUUAGUUUGACCUUGGCAAGAGCUUGUGGAGAAGUAUUCGGUGAAUAGCUUUGAGGGUGAUUGUAUGUUUUUUUUUUCUUUUUGGUGUUUAUGUGUUGUUUUGUUGUUGCGGUAUCGUUGUGUUGUGGUUAUAUUGUUGUUCCAAUUAGGAUGUUGUUCACAAAUAGUCUCACCCCCACAAAUACAUAUACUUUAUACAUUAAUGGUUCAUUUGCUAAUCGAUAUUGAGAAUCAACUUGAAUCGAAAUGAGAAAUAUAGAUAAGAAUAAAUUAUUAACUUUAGUUGUAGAAAUCAGAAUCAGAAUGAGCCGUAUGGCCAUUAAUGUAUUUGCAUUGUCUUAGAACCAAUGGAUUGUUGCUAGUUAUUAAAAUGAUCUUAGUUAAUUAUUGUCAUUAUUUAUUUUAAUAGUUGUGAAUAAUAAUUACAAUAAUGAUGAUGAUUAGAAAGUCUUCUUAUUUUGUUAGGAUUCUAUUUCAAUUCCAAGUUUAAUUAGGUUAGUAGAUGAGUUUUAUUACAAAAUAAAACACUUUGAUAGUACAACAUUUUCAAUAUAUAGUAAAAAAUCAUCCGGGUUAUGUAUGAAAAUCAUUCGUUGUUAGCAUAAUAGUCGAAAUAGUAAGUAAUAGAAUUGCAUUGGCGUGGUUCUGCUGGAAUAGAGCGUAAUAUUAAGAGUAAUAGAUUGCUUCUGGUAAUUAAUUUGUCAGCUCAGUGUCUUUAAUUAAUUGCUACCAUGGAGAAGGACUAGGAGAGCGAGGUAUCACUUGGAGUAAUAUUGAAAAUUCAAUGUGGGAAAAAGGGAGUUAUAUAUUUAUGGUAUUUGUAUUUUUUAUGGUUGGCUCAAGGCACUUAUUCCACUUAAAUGCAAACCCAAUUACGGCUGCAAUUAUGGCUUCUAGUGAUAUGCUCAUUCUCGUACCUGCAAUUGCGGCUGCAAUUAGGCUAUCCUUUUCAUGAUUCCAGUAGCUAGCUGUUGAUUUACAACUGGCUUCACCACCAAUAAAUGAUUAAUUAAGGCUCUUUUUUAGCAUUCACUCAAGACGUUCCACAUAUUAUCCCACACUUGAUAAUGCAAAUAACUUACAUUUGAAUGAUCAUAUCAGACAACAUUUUAUGGAAACUGAUUUCAUCAAGCAUAAACACAAACAGAAGAUCAGUUCUAAUUUGGACAUGUAACUUUACUCUCCUUCCUCAUGGUUUCUUCACUACGGGAACAGGACAUUUCGAGUUCUAAUGUAGUAAUUGCUUACGCUCCCUAUCAAAGCCCCGUAGCAGACUCUUAAUGCCAGCUUUCAAUAAUGACAUAUAUUAUUUAUAACUAUAUUGAAACAAAGAACCUAGUAAUACAGGGAAUUGGAUAUAUGGUAGUUUCAUUUUGCAUCCAAAUUCAGAUUGCAAAAUAAUCACGUCUGAUUUUCAUUUUAUUUAUUUAUUGUCCAUUAUUUGUAUCCAAUCUGAAUAGUCUGUUAACUUAGUUUACGAUAUGUCCUGUCCAAAGCCGUGAGCAUCAAAGAAAUAAUGUUUUCCCAGUUUGAAAAAAACUAGAAAACAAUAGUCACCAUAUAUAUGUAUUUUAUUGAAGUUACAAGAGGAAGAACUAAUUAACCUCUUGAUUUUUCCAAGGCCAUGUUCACCCAAAAUAAGUAGAUUGACAUCCACUUUCUGAACUGCAUUUCAUAUGGCCAUUGUAGGAUCCCAUACCUCCACAACCAUAUAUGCUUUUACCUGUAAAUUAGUGGAAAGCAAUAAGAAUUAACCUUUUAUUUUCACACGCUCUGCUUUGGCAAUCAGAGAAAAUAAUAAAACAAAGGAAAAAUGAGACAAAUAUAAAUGCUAAGUAACAUUUUUCCAUUAAAGAAUCAAAAGACAUAGCCAUACCCCUUGACUAGAAAGAAUGUCCUUUACUUUCUGCAAAAAAGCCAAUGUCAGCUUCCGUUGUUUUUCUUCAGCACAGUUGACAAAACCUUGUGCUGUGUAUGCAAAAGAUUAGAAACUGGUUACCAUGAGUUCAAUACCUAACAGUUACCUUACUUCACAUGCACAAUAUCAAAUCAAGAAAUUUUUUAGACAAAAGAAAAUAGUUCAUAUACAGCUAAUCCUCAAGGUUGCUUGAAAGUUGAGAAACGAUUAGGAGUGUUUAUGUAUGUAUAAAGACCUAACUGGUUAAAGCAGAAGAGUACAAGCGAGCAUAACCAAAAGGUGCGGUAAACACGAACUCGGACUUGGUGGGCGGCUGUGCCAUGAAGAUAAUUAGUGGAAACUUGGAUAUUGAUUCUUUGAGAUUGUCAAGAACCCACAUGAGCGCAUAGUGACUCUGCUCGCUCUCAUCAAUGGCCACCAUCACCUUCCUCUCACCCACUCCUUCCGCAGGUUCUGCGGCUACAAUGACCUCUGCCAUCUUUUUCUCGGGUUGUAGAACACGGAUAGACAAAUGGUUCCAAAACAAAUGCGAUCACAUUUGUAAAAGAAGAGUGCGUAAAAUGAACAUCUAGGUUUUUAACUUAACUGCUUGAUGGUGAAGACGCUGUUUUGUGCAUAAGCUAGCUGGUAAAUAAGGAGGCCCGUGCUUCCAGAUCAUAACUGUAAAGUCAAAUGAUGAAGUGGACUCGCUAUUGAGGAUAUUUUAUGCAGUGUAGUUUGGAUAAGACUUGUUUUUUCUUUGGAUUUUCAAUUAUAUUAAUCUCUUUGUCUUAAACCUAUUAGCCUAUUCAACUUACGUUCCCAUAAUCAUAAGGAUGCGGUUGUACUCUGCAUUUUACUCUUUCUUUUUUAUUAUUGCCAUAUUACGUAUAAAAAGGUUGGUGGUUGUUCAUAAUUGUCAAUGAAUUAGAUGCAAAGUGAUUAUUAGCUUUGGUGGCUUCGGAUCUCUUCCAGUUUCUUGCCGUCAGUAUUUAAAUCCUGACUCCUGCCGGCACUAUAUGUGCUUGAUGAGAACAAAACAUCAUCAUAGAACAACACAUUCUUUUUUAUUUUUCCCACCUUUUGAAGGAGAGGAGGGGGCCUUGAGAUGUUAAUGAAACAAUACGUUGACAGUCAAUCCGCGCCCACUCAUUUGAAGAACGUAAAUUCAAUUAUGAUCCUGUCACAAAAAAACCAUCAGAGAUUCAGAGCAAAGAGAUGCCAUUAAGACAAUGAGCUUUUAAACUUAAUGUACGUACUUGGUAAGGUAUCAACGGUGAAAGAAGACUAAUUGAAAUCUCUCGGCACUUUCAAUAAGGCAGUCGAAAGAAUAAGAUGCACACGACAAUCCAUCAAAUAUUAAACGGAAGCCACCUUAACUUACUUCAUCCACUUUAUUUAUAAAGUUACAAACUCCACAUCUUUAUACAACACUCAUUUUUCCACAACAUCAAACUACAUUUGAACAAAUAAUUAAUUUCACUUUCAUUAGGCCAAGUUGGUAAUGACCGCUUAACUCCGUUUUUUAUUCCCUCUAGGUUACAGCUGAAGAUUCAGUUUCUUAUAUCUUGCUCGAGUGCAUUCAUUCAACUGGCUUCCUCACCACAAGCACAGGGCACUUGGCAUUAUGAACACAGUAAUUGCUAACACUUCCCAGAAAAGCCCUGUUGCAAAAAACGCGCAUUAACAUCCAAGAUGCAUAAACAUGCAGCUGCUAAAGUACAAAUUAGCACCCAAAUCCAAGACUGCCCCUGCUGGUGAUAAGAUGUGAUGUCAAAGAAGGGUCUUUGCAAUGCAAGCACAGAGAGGGAAAGUUGAUGGAAAGGUUUAAUGGGUUUUAUUGAGUGUAAGCAGAAGUAAUCCCUUAAAAUUAUACAAAGAAAGGGCAGCAACUUAAGAAAUUUGAGAAUGGAUCUAUUGGCAAAGAGCUAUGUAUAUCAGCAGAUGAGUGACAGCUCUAACAACUUUCGUCUAUUGUCAUAGUUUCAGACUGUCAACAUUCGUGAUGGAACCCCACACUAGUAAUUCAAAGACUAUGUGAGAAGGAUUUAUUAUUAUUUGCAUGAUGUACCCUAUACCCAAAAUAGUUGGUAAUAAUUUCUUUGUCGAAGAAUAUUAUUCAGGCAACUAAUCCUAGCACCAACAUACACAUAACCAUGAGAAAGCAAUGAAUCAGCUAUCCAAAAGUUUAGACUAACCUCUGUAUAGGUCCACGGCUAUGGCUACCUACUAUAAGUAACUGGAUUUUGUGCUUUUCUGCUGCUUCACAUAUGACAAUUUUAGGAUCCCCCAUCUCUGUCAUUGUCUCUGCAACAACCUGAACCAAGGCAAAUAACAAAUUUUAAUACAGCAUACGAGACUAGUUUGCACUGAAACUGAUGGUAUUCUUAAAUUAAAAAAAAAAAAUCAGCUGUUAAGAAAGUAACAGGAGCUUAAGCGGCAUCAUCACACAUAAGAAUUCAGUUUUACCCAAGUGUUUUUCAUUUAUAACAAAUAUGAUAUCCAAGUAGAGAGGAUGUUAUCCCAGAAACACAUACGAACCUUCAACAUGAUGUCAAUAACUUCAUAUUAAAAGCACAAGCAAAUGGAAUGGAAUUGGUAAAAGAAUUUCAAAACCAUUUUUGCUUGUAUCCCUUCUUCAAAUAGGUACAAAACUAUAUAAACAAAGAGAAAAAUAAUUCGUUAAAUCACCCUAAGCAACAUGCAAGACUUUAGACAAAAGUAUCAGCAAAGAAAAGUGUACCCCAUGCUUAGCACAAAUCUCCUUUGCUCUUCCCAAUAGAGCCAAUGCAGCCUUCUUUUGAUUUUCUUGUAUGGACAUAAGCAAGUCUGGUGCUGAAAGUCACGAAAUUGAACUAAAUGAUAGAAAUUAGAGUAAUGCUGCACAUAAAAAGUUGUCCCAACUGUUGUGAGAAAUGACAUAGCACACGUUCAUAGGUGCCGCUUAAUUACAUACUAAUAAAGGUGUAAUCAAAGUCAACACUCCACAUCAAUUGUGAUGGCGAUUAGCGAAUCAAUCAAUCAAAGAUUGAAAUUCCCCAAAGGCAGCAACAGAGUCAAUCUAAUCAAGCAAACAAAUCCAAUAUUCAAAACAAGAUAAGAUACAAAGAAAGAAGAAAAGGGAGACUUACGAGCAGCACCAAACAUGGAAGCCUGAACAUAAAUAAAUUCAGUAGGCCGAGCAGUGAAGAUGAUAAGGUCAGACUUGGAUAUCGCAUCGCCUAGAUUUUCAAGUGCCCAUUGGAGAGCAUAGUGGCGACACUCACUCUCAUCUAUAGCCACCAUCACUUUCUUCUUGUCCAUCUCUUUUUACUCUCUUCCUUUUCUUCCUUUGGUCUUUCUUUAGGAAUUUUGGGUUUCAGAGCCAAAUACUUCUGGUUCGAUCGUGGGGUAGGCUAUUCAAAGCAGAUGAUAUUGUCUUUAUAGCAAAUCUCAACUGGCAAUCAAACCAACCACGUGUCAACCAGCUGGUGUAACAGGACCAGUCUAGAUGUUUGUACUCUGUACGAGUGUGCUGUGUGCAGGGUCUGUUUGCAAACUUACGCGUCACCUUUCUCAGGUGUAAAUCUUCUAACACCGCUUCAAAUAUCUGACGAAAGUCCCUACAUUUUUAAGUUCACCUAUCUUCAAUGCGUUAAAAGAAAAAGGCUCNNNNNNNNNNNNNNNNNNNNNNNNNNNNNNNNNNNNNNNNNNNNNNNNNNNNNNNNNNNNNNNNNNNNNNNNNNNNNNNNNNNNNNNNNNNNNNNNNNNNNNNNNNNNNNNNNNNNNNNNNNNNNNNNNNNNNNNNNNNNNNNNNNNNNNNNNNNNNNNNNNNNNNNNNNNNNNNNNNNNNNNNNNNNNNNNNNNNNNNNNNNNNNNNNNNNNNNNNNNNNNNNNNNNNNNNNNNNNNNNNNNNNNNNNNNNNNNNNNNNNNNNNNNNNNNNNNNNNNNNNNNNNNNNNNNNNNNNNNNNNNNNNNNNNNNNNNNNNNNNNNNNNNNNNNNNNNNNNNNNNNNNNNNNNNNNNNNNNNNNNNNNNNNNNNNNNNNNNNNNNNNNNNNNNNNNNNNNNNNNNNNNNNNNNNNNNNNNNNNNNNNNNNNNNNNNNNNNNNNNNNNNNNNNNNNNNNNNNNNNNNNNNNNNNNNNNNNNNNNNNNNNNNNNNNNNNNNNNNNNNNNNNNNNNNNNNNNNNNNNNNNNNNNNNNNNNNNNNNNNNNNNNNNNNNNNNNNNNNNNNNNNNNNNNNNNNNNNNNNNNNNNNNNNNNNNNNNNNNNNNNNNNNNNGGGGGGGGGGGGGGCUCAGGUUUCUAUAUUUUAUUUUAACCGUGGAUAAUAUGUUUAUUGAGAUGAUUUUAGAUUACACGAGACAACUGAAACUGAAAUAAAAAUUUCAAAAGUUAAAUAAGAAAAUUUUUAAAUUUUGUUAUAGCAUGAUAAGACAAGAUCUGUGGAAUUUUUUCCCGAAGGAUAAUAUAACGUAAAGGCUAUUUUUGUAAUUAAAAUAGAAAAGAGGGUUUUAUAAGAGUUUUGGAAGGGUCUUAUCCUAACUCAAUUUCUCAUUAUGCACUUCAUAUUCGGUCUUAUCCUUUCUUCACGGGGUCUGAUGGGUUCAUCUUAGUUACGCAAACUAAUUUUCGAAGCCUGCUAAGGCUUAUUUUGUGAAAUAUUGGCCCAUUCCCAUAGUGGAAUGUAUCGGUUUGAUAAUCCUUAACCUCGUUGUUAGAACAGCAGUGGAAAUUGUAGUACAAUAACAUCACCACUCUUGCGUUAUCAUUUGCAUCAGAUGAACGUAUAACAUGAGAAUCUGGUAUGAAGCCUGAGGUCGCAUUUUUACACUCUUCAAAGACAUAGGUUUGAUUGCUUAUUAUCCCAAAACACAGCCAAGAAAAAUUUCACGCAUCAGACAUCAGUGAAAUAGUGGGAUAAUCCUAUGAGGGUUAAAUUUUCUUAACAAACCUGUCCUGAGAAAGAAUGUUUGAAUGUAGAUUGACUCUAUAUUUAGCCAAGAACUCUUUCCACAAAGUAAUUGUCGCAUUAAAAUCAUUUAGGCUCUUCUUGGCGAAGGAAUUGAGCAAUUUUAGAUCUCAUCUCUGGUGGAAUACGGACUGGACGGUAGUUUUUGUCAAGCCAAACUGCAGUGCCCUUAGCCUCCAAAAUUGGCUGCACAAGAAAGUUAAAGAGUGCUUACUGAGGAUCAUGACAGUUUCUGAAAACUAUGUACAACAGUACAAGUGCAGUUCAGGGUCACAACUACAAACCUCAUGAUUUGGAAGCUUAAAGAUGAAGUGAUCAAAGAUUAAGCGGACAGCUGAACCACCAGAAAUCCUAACCUUCACAACAAACUUGUCCCCACUCUACUAGCAAAACACCAUGAGAACAGAUACACACAUGAGAUACAAAAUGUGUGGGAAUCCUCCAAUAAAUUAGAUAAUUCUAUAACAAUUUUCAAAAUGCAAGGGAGGUUUUUAAUGGAUUUCAAAACCAAUGAUUUCUAUUUAUAUUUUAGUCAAAUGUCGGUACAUGACAAUAAAAGCUUCACCUUAAUAUCUAACUCAAAGAAAAGCAAGGAACCAAUCAGGGGAUCAUGGUGUUGUAGCAUAAGGUAUAGUGCCUUACUUGUAUACCUAAAUAUAUCGAUAAGUAAGUAGACAAGAGGUUUAACAGUCAUAAGUUUAAAUAUCAAGGCAUACUCUCAGAGGUGCAAGGAACUUGAGUGACAACUCUGACAGCGCCAAUGAUUCACCAGUGCGGGCAACUUCGUCGCAAUUGAUGCCAAUCCUUUCAAAAAAUUCAUGCCGACCUGAUUAACAUAUAUUAAGGACAAAUGUUCACUCUAUGUCAAUAGUGUUUUAACAACAUAAAAUUAACAGAGCUAUUCCUUGAUAUGUAAACGAUAUUCUUUUAGUCAUUAAAUAGAAGAGAAGAGGUGCAUUGGCAUACACACACAAAUGCAUGAUAGGCAGAUAACUAAUGGCGGCCACGUAUACAAAUGAUAGCAUAUGCUAGUCUGGACAACAUAAUUUUUACUAGAUGAGCUACUUUGACAAAUAAAUGACCACAAGGAUAUACUUCAAAGCCAUCAACUUAAUACUAACCACCAAGUGACGGAACACAUGAAGAUAAAUGAAUCAAUGAUAAAAGAAUCACUAUGUUUGAGGUUGAAAUAAGAUUUUUAAACAACAAUAUAUCACAAAUAAAAAAAACUAUUACAAGCUAUUCUGCUUAAAAAGAAACAGCAAAAGCCACAGAAAGUGACUCCAGUGUGUUUAGUAGAGGCUGUCAUGAAGGAAAAUGGAGACAGUCACAACAGUGCACCGCAUGUGAAUUGUUGACAAGGGAAAACCCCUUUUGACUUUACUCCAGUAGUGUUGCUCAAAAUCAGACUGAAAGGCAAGAUCAGGACAAGUGGGGGAGGGAGCGAGAGAAUUGAAUGUUGUAAAUCAUGUAGUGCAGAAGAAAAGAGGCGAAGUAAAAAACGAAAAGCUGAUAAACAGAUGCGUCAAUGCGAGCUAAUUUAUACUCAAGAUUCUGAUGGCAAACAACAAACUCAUAAUCAAAAAUCAAAAUACAGUGUCAUCUUAAGCUAUAUAAUGUCAAGCAAAUGAACACUGAAAAACCCGAUCUAAUAGUAGAGACAAAAAUCAUUAGUCUUUAGGAUCCCAAAACACCGGCAGUAUCUAAUAUAUUUAGUGAAGAGAUGAAGCGCAAGGGCCAUCAACAUCUAAGCAGCAACCAAUACUAAACACUUAACAAUGGUAAGCAAUGGUAGUGCAAGGCCUAUCAACAUCUAAGCAGAAAUCAAAACUAAACACUUAACAAUGGUAAGCAACGGUAUAACAAAUCCAAGAAUAAGCAAACACUUACAACCAAUAAGUCCCUCAAAUUUUAUACAUUCUGACAAAAUUAAUUAGAAGAGAAAAAGAAAAAAAAUUCUUACCAUGUUGACAAUAACUAGCAUAGACAGCAUUGUUGACAACACCAUAUUGAUCCAACUCGUAAUCUCGGACUUGAAGCUCAACAUCAUGAAACUCACUCAUUCUACAAACAUAAAAGCUUAUAAAUUUUUUGGGUGAGGUGAUAUCACAUAAUUACAACAAAAAUGUAAACUUUAUGCCCAGACUACUAAAUUUUAAGCGCAAUAAAUUUAUUUCAGAAUUUCCAUCAGAACCCCUCAAAUAAAAUUGCUUAAAAAAAGCUAAUGGAAGUACCCUUUGCCACCAUUGAGGUCAAGGAAUGCAGGCGAACGGCACCUCCUCACUGCGGCUAGCGAUCGGAGAACACGUGGCGGCAUCAGAGGCUGAGUGGUGGGAAAGGCGACUGGUGGGGGGAGAAACGGAGCCUGAACACGUGCAGUCGGGAGUCUCACGUGCGCAGGAGAGAUAAAAGCCUGCAACAUUUCUUCUUCUUCGAAGAUGGUGGAGAAAUGGGAAGUUGGAAAUUUAGUAGAUGAUUUAUCAUUAUGAAGCAAUGGGCGAAAAAAUCCAUGCGACUCUGUUUAAUGCUCUCAAUUUUUUUAACAUUCACGUGUAAUUGACAUUCAUUGCGGAACACAAAUGACUAACUCAUAAUAGUUUUUCACUGGAGUGAUAUUUUGUUAAAUGCUAGGGACCAUAUUAAUAGUUUACUGCACAAUAAUUAAUGAUGGUACAAUUACUAUUUGCUGAGGGUUUUGGGGCUGAGGUGCUGUGCCGUAGAAAAAAAUUAUAAGUAUUAAAUAAAAGUUAAUAAUAUAUAAUAAAUAUAAAUUUUGAUAAAAUAAUUAAAGAUGUACGGUACAGCAGAUAAAUUUUGAUAAAAUAAUUAAAGAUAUAAUAAAUUUUUUAUUAUAUAAAUAAAAAAUUAUAUUAACAUAAUUUAAAAGUUACAGCAGUUAGUGUUUAUUAAACACUUUAGUACUGUAAUUUUUAAGUUAUAAUUGUCCAACCUCAAUUCCAAAUGUAUUUUAAGUAUCUCAAUUUUACGUCCGCAUUGAACACUAAUUACUUUUUAUUUUAUUUAUCCAUUAUUUUCAGUUUAUAUGUGAGAGUUUGUAUAAUUAGUUUAUGGGUGGGGCGGGACUAUGUUAACUAUAUUAUUGAUAUGCUGAAAUUUGUUUGAUACAUUGAACAAUUUUUUUUUUUGUGAGAAGGUUUACAUUAUUUUCAUUUUUAUUUUUUUCUCAAAGAUUUGGCUAACCAGGGCUUACCAACUUCUCGUAGUGCAAACACGCUAGCUAGGGUGCCUGAGCCUGGGCAUUGUGGUUGUAAAUAAAAUAUUGUCCCUACCCUUUGAAAAAGGAAAAUGCUAUUUGCACACAAAUGAGCACAAAUUAGGAAAGAUCAAACGAUUCAUGCAAUCAUGUUUAGCUAAACUGAUUUUACAGCACAUUCACAAAUCACGAUCACUUGGGCUUGGGGAUUUGAUUAAUUUUAUAAAUUAAUUUUACAAACUAAUAUUUAAUUAGUAAGAACUAGUAGAGAUGAAUUACCUUAAUGGGCUUCUUUGCGCCAGUGAAUCAUAAUUAAUAAGGACCCCCUGGCUGAUGUGGCUUUCUCCUCAUGAUGGAGUUGGAUCAUGCAGCAUAAUAUUAUUUGACCAAUUAUAUCAUAGUCUAACACGUGGAACGUGAUGAAUAUGAUGAGGGUGGAUAAAAAACAAUAAUAAAUGCAUGAGAAUUCAAAUACGUGAUCUUAACUGGGUGAUGUACGUGGUGUUACUGUUCGUGAAUCAUAUGAAAGAAAAUAAGAACUACUGCUAGCUAAAAUGAUCCUAUGGCUGUGAGGGAGGUGUUGAUCAGCUUCACUCAAUUCUCUUGUGGGAAGCAGAAUAUUAUUAACGUGGCCCUAUAUAAUUCAAUCUGUCUUCACCCACCCAACUUCUUUCAUAGAUUCAUUGUACUUUCUUUUCCGUAACUACCAUUAUUUCUCAACCAUAUACAAUAGAUGUUUAUUUGCCAACAUAAUUUAAUUAUAUAAAUGUGACUAAAUCAAACUGUGGGAUCCAUGCAUUAUCUUUAUGUACAUAGCUUAUCAAUAUCAUCAUUGAUCGCUAUCAUGGUACAUGAAAGGGAUCCCAUAUAAUUGUUGAUAAAAAUUAAAAGUAGAUUCAUGUGUCUUUCAUUGGAUAAAGGAUUACAUAUAUCUAGCAACCAAAUUAACAAUUUGUAUCUUUCUCGAUGUCCUUGACAAUAAUCUGCUGACUUUUGAUACUCAAUAUUCGAUAACGAAGACCGAAGAGAGUAAUCAAACAUUAACCAAAUCCAAUCAAUAAUUACUAGUGGAGUACAUGCAUUAAUUAUAUUUAUACGGGAAUUAAUACGAGAUUACAGUAUCCUUGCUUUUCUUUAUAAUUAUUGUUUAUUGCCAUAAGCAUAUAUAUGGUGUAUACAACAGGGUUUAAUUUGCAACUUCUUUUGAUAAGCAAGAACAUAGGAAAUUUAUAUUUAAGUCUUGCAUUCAAAGAGACCAAGCAGAGUGGAAGUAAGAAGGGCCUCCAUACCCUUCUCUCACCAUCCUCUCCAUGUCUUGUGCAUCACAUUCAUUUGUCCCCUACAACAUAAAUAGAUAUUAGUCUUUAAUUAUUAGAUUUACUCCCAAUUUAUAAAUCAUUGAUUGAUUAAGUAAAUCAGCUUCAUCAUCAACAAAAGAAUCAAUUACAUUUUCAAAUUAUUCAAGAAAUCAAAACAUAUAUUAUAAGAAUUUGUGCUCAAGGAUUUUAGGUCUACCGGCAUUGUUUCUGUUGUAUCCAGCUCCGAGUUGAAGUCAUAGUACAUACUUGCUGCUGAAAGCUUCAUGGAGAGAAACUAGAACAUGUACAAAAUUGGCAAUACAUGUUACUCAAAUAUUAAUGUAAAGAAAAGACGUGAUAAAAUUUUAUAUAUAGUUUCGGGCGGCAUAGAAAAAUUUCUUGACAAGGAUGCACCUCAAUUUGAUUCUGCAGAGAUCGAACAUAAUUAAUAAUAACAUCCAACAUCACUGCCAUUCCCAUUGUCUGCACAUUCAUAAGACAGAUAUUAUUAUAACUUGAGAUUUAUUUUUUUCUUCCUUUUUUAGUGCAAAGAAUGAUAACAGCAAUUCUUACCUUGUAGCAUCCUGGAACCAAGUCCUGUAAGCAUCUCAGCCUCUCAUUUAUUUUCUCUCUUCUCACCUAGAAUUAAGAUGCAUCUGCUGAAUCAUAUAUUUGUAUAUAUAUUUCUAUGUGAUAUAUAUCUUCAAAUUAAAUUAUUAUUUAUUUUAAUAUAAUGAGAAAAAUAUUCGGAUACAUGAUAUAAACAUACCCUUUCAGCCAAACUGUGACUGUCAGUGGCUUGACCUCUUUUUGCUCUUACAUGAAUCACUUCUUUUGGUUUCUCCACCACUCUCUCAUUGUUUCUCUUUCUUUUUCUUCCACUCAAGCCCUGCAUGCCAGUUCCCUACACAAAAUAAACGACUCAACAAGAAACGAUAGAAAUAAAUUAAUAAAUAAAAGAAAGACUAGUAAUUAAUUAACCUUAUUAUUUACACUUAACAACCCACUUCCAGAAGCCGGAGUGGGAGACAAAUUCAUAAAACUUUCAACAGUAUGCGCCGCCGCCUUCUUUCCGUUACUGGUAUCAUGGCUGAAAUCAGCUAUCAAUCCUAUGGAAGGAACAACUAAGGCUUCACUUUGAAUGUUGUUAUCAGCAAAGCUCAUGCAAAGCUGAGGCUGUUGAUGAUGAUCAAAAAAGCUGCCAUUUGAGAAAAAACCCAUGACUCCAGCAGGCUGAUCAUCAGAUGUGUUACGAUUCUCUAAUGCCAUUAGACAAGUUUAGCAACUCUUCAACUCAGCGCUUUACAGAAAAGCAAGCCUUAAGAAACUUUCUCUUACUCCCAAUCUCUUGAUAUAUACAUGUAUAUAAAGAGUUGCAUGUUAUCCAAUUUGAUUAUACGACCUCUUGUAUAUAGCAAUUAUGGGUAACAUAUAAUUUUCAUAUUUCUUUUCCACGAUAUGACUAAAAACUAAAAAGGAAAAUAAAGGUUUUCAAAAUUGUUGCCAUUUGUCAGUUUGCUAUUGAUAUAGUGAUUUGGCAUCUUUGGUAGGUCCACAUUAGUUGAUAUAUCUAGUACGUAGGACCACUUCCAAGACUUUGAUUUAAUUAUGGUCGAAAUCAAAGAUUCAAUAUUAAUUCAUGGCCUUGGCAUGAUAGUUUCUUGGAAACGACAUGAUUUUGAUAAUUGGUUUUGGGGAAUGGUUUUAGUUGCUUUUUGGUAUUGAGGUGACGUGGCUUUUUAAGUCACAAUUGUUAUAUAGAUAAAAAAUUUGUAGCUAUGAAUUAAGUUUAGAGUAAAUAUGAUUAUUUAAAAAUUGUUUUGAUAAAAAUAGUAAACAGGCUUUUCAAUUUUCAUUACCAUACAAUUAUCGUAACUUCUAAUAUAUAUUUGUCCAACCACACUACUAAAUAAGGUUUAGUACUACAAAAUAAUUGAUUUCAUAAUGGUGUGACAUUUGGCCUUAUUUCACCACGUAACCAUCUAUAUAAAUUUCUGAAUGAUAUAGUACUUCUCCAUUCCGAAAGUUAGUGCUGUUAGCUAAAAUACAAAUACUUUAGCUAUUUUCUAGUAAAACAAAAUACUACAUUAUUGUUUUGCACAAAGCAACAAUAUGCUAUGAUAAAAUAAUAAAUAAUGUAUAUAUUGUUCAAAUUCAUAUUUUAUAAAGUAUGGACAUUGGCGCUAUAAACAUUUUUGUUAAAUUUAUUUGUUGAUGACUAUCCAUAUGAAAAGUUUUAUGUCAUUCUUUAAAGGGUUUUCUUUUUCAAAUUAAUAUAAAUUCACUUAUAUAGAUGUGAACAAUAUAAGAGAUCUUGGAUUGAAUAUGCAACUAUGGAGUCAAGCCAAGUUUUUUUACUUUUCCUUCCCCACCCCUCCCUGNNNNNNNNNNNNNNNNNNNNNNNNNNNNNNNNNNNNNNNNNNNNNNNNNNNNNNNNNNNNNNNNNNNNNNNNNNNNNNNNNNNNNNNNNNNNNNNNNNNNNNNNNNNNNNNNNNNNNNNNNNNNNNNNNNNNNNNNNNNNNNNNNNGGAUGUACGGUACAGCAGCCCCGCGCCGGGGAAAAAAAAGGGCGGCCUUUGUGAUCUGCCUUGUAAUCUAACUGAUAAAAUUGCGAUUUUCAAGCAUCAAAUAGACUUUGAUCAUAUUGUGUAUUUGUGUUAAAUAAUCAUUAAUCUAAUGACCUUACGUUAAUAGAUUCUCAUCAAGAACACGUACAGUCUUGUCAAUAUGCACAAGUUUGUGACUCCUACACUUCCGCAUAGGUCACAUGUCCAUAUCUAGCUUGGGCAUAGCAGGGUUACUUUUUUCUCCUCUUCAAGGCUUUCUUGUCUUUCAUAUUUCAAUGAUAAUUCUGGUUCUAAUCUUAAUUCCAAAUGCCUUCAUUUUCAACUUGAACUAUCUCUCCAUUUAGUUUGCAAUAAUUUGUACCUAUAAUAUGGCCAUUGUGGGGUGCUCACAAUCUAAAGAGUUGUUUUACAAUCAUGAGAAAAAUCUGUUUAAAACAGUAAUUUUUGUUCAUCUAUUGCAUGCCCUAGAUUUUCAGGAUCAAAAACCCUCUAUGUGUAUAGGCCUCUUGAAAAUCCAUCCCAAAGGAAUAAUGCCACAAUUUCUCUGAUUGGCAGUUUUAUUUUGAAAUUCUUAACGACCCAGAAUAGCAUAUUAUUAACUAAGCAAUUUAUGAAGCAAUAUUUUGUGAAAUGGGGCUAUGAUUCUUAUGUCUCCUUUGCAUGCAAGUUUAUUUAAAGAUUGCGGAUUCUUAAUGUCAAGUUUGAAUUUUUUCAAUGCCAAACCAUCCUCAUUUGUUGGAACUAGAGGGUAGAUAUGGUUCAGCACAUUGACAAAAAUUUUGCCCUAAAGUGAAAAGUUUAUGGGAUGCGUGGAGACUGUCCACAUCCUCAUUAACAGGUUUUAAUCGAAACCACGAAUUGUUUGCCCUUUGAUUAUUGACAUUUGGUUAGGCCAACACUCAUUCAAAUUCCAAAAUCAUCUAAUUUUAACAAUAAAGAAAUUAAUAAUAAAAGCUAAAAAAAAAGUUGCUAACCGAAACAAAAUAUUGAAUUGGGAUAAAAAGUUUAUGGAGCGACUUACCGACAAUUACAUGAAAUCACUCUAAUUAAAUUAAACGAACAAAACUUAACAUUGCAUGGUAAUUUUUUAACAUCAAAUUUCAUUAUAAUAUUUUAAAAAAUGUGAAAGUGCAACCAAAAUUGACUUUAAAAUUAGAUGAAUCUGUCAAAUAAAUUUGAAAACAAAAUUAUCAUAUACAUACUAGCCACUAGCUAGGAAAUUUAAUUAUUCACCUAAUGAAAGAGAGGUGAGAACUACAUAAUAUAUCCAAAAUUUUGAUUGACUCUAAAGACUAAAAUUCUCUAACUUGGGAUGGGAAGAUAUAUACUAAGGGUCCAUUUGAUAUUGAGGUUGGGUAGCUGUAACUUAAAGUUAGGGAACUUAUCAUUACACCACCUCUAUUUUGUUUUAUGUUCAUCCAACCACCAUAAAAUUUUAACAUGUUCUCUGCACCACCUUUCUUUUUAAAUUUGUAUCAAUUAGCCACUUUUGCACUAACACCAUUAAAUAAUUUAAACGAAAUGAAAAUUUUACCCCUAAAUAAAUUAAAAAAUCACUUUAUCUUAUAAAAACUUUGAAAAAUAAAAAAAUUGUAACUAUAAAAUACCCCUAAUUUUAAUAAAAAAAUAAAUCCCAAGUAGAGGUGCUCAACUUAUUUUUAUUAAAUUUAGAUUUUGUAAAAUUUUAAUACAGCAGCUUAUUUUUAUUAAAUUUAGAUUUUGUAAAAUUUUAAUAAUUAUUUUUAUUAAAAAAAUUUAAUUUUGGAAAAUUUUAAUAAAAAAUAACUGAAUUUAUUUAUUAAAAAAUAUAAUUUCACAAAAUUUUAUUAAAUAACUGAAUUUAUUUAUUAAAAAUAAAUCUUUUAUUAAAUUUAAGGGUAUUUUUAUAAUUAUAAUUUUUUAUUUUUCAAAUUUUUUAUAAAAUAAAAUGGUCUUUUAAUUUAUUUAGGGGUAAAAUUAUCAUUUUAUUUAAAUUAUUUAACGGUGUUAGUACAAAAGUGGCUAAUUGAUACAAAUUUAAAAAGAAAGGUGGGCAGAGAACAUGUUAGAAUUUUGUGGUGGUUAGAUGAACAUAAGAGAAAACAGAGCUAGUGUUAUGAUAAUUUCCCUAAAAGUUAUAAUAUUAAAGUGUUUGGUAAACACCAGCUGUCAUAGCUUGGAAGUUAUGUUGAUAUGAAUUUUUUACUUAUGUUAAUAUGAAUUUUUUACUUGUAUGAUGAACAAUCUAUUAUAUAUUUAAUAAUUUUGUCAUAUUAAUAUUUAAAAUUUAUAUUUGCUAUAUAUUAUUAAUUUAUAUUUCAUAAUUACAUUUUUUUUUCUCACAGCAACUGUAACUUAAAAGUUACAACACAUCAAUCUCAAAUAGAGCCUAAGUCCCUUAAUAAACUAAUGAUAAAAAAUGAAAUCAAACUUCUUCCUUCUCUAAGAAAUCCGUGGCUUGCAAUUAUAGCUUAAUUAUUAUCGGUGUGUCCAAUGAUUUAUUAUUAAUUUUAAAUAAAUUACAUGAUUGAAUUCUAACUAGCCAAAAGCAUUUUAUGAAGGGCCGGCUAAUGCAAAAGAGAUAUCCACUUGCAAACAUUUUCAAAUAAAAAAAAAAAGCUAUAUUUUUGAAUUACUACCAGAAAAGGGAUGGCAACAACAAAUUAAAUAUGUGAAAGAGUGGGUGCAAAUAAAACAAAAUGUUAAAAAAAUAAAAAGAAUGUUAGGACUUGGGUUUUGGUACAUGCAUCCCAGCUUCCUUCCCACCAAAUGUGCGUGAAUUUGGGCCGGGCAAGCAUGAAUUUGAACCAAAAAAAGUAUUGUGGUUUGUGGCCACUUAUUUUCAACAUUUGAACCUUGAAGGAAACUUAUUUCUAAUUAUCAUAUCAUGUUAAUUUUUUUAAUAAUUGACUAAUGUGACGAUUACAUCGUGCAUAAUUAAGUCUUAAAUACAUGGAUUAUAAUUGAAAUUCCUGAUAUUACUCCUUGUUGUUUUCAUCAGCCUCUGACGCUAACAGGCAUCCAACAUUUUUAGAAAGAGUGAUAAUAGAGCUACAAAUUCUUAUACAAAUUUAUCUUGUAUAAACUGAUAUGACAUUAAUUCAUUGGUUGAAUAAAAAUAUAAAAUAAUAAAAAUAAAUUAUGUGGAUCAAGAGAUAUUUAAUUCAACUAAUUUUAUCAUGCCACAUCAGUUUGUACAAGAUAAGUUUAUACAAGAAUUUAUGACUAUAUCAUUACUCUUUUAGAAAAAAAGAAAAAAAAUUAUUUUAUAGCAACCAAAUAGAAAAUUUGGAACGAAAAAGGAAAAACAAAAAGGUUUGUUCUUGCUCUCUUGGUCUUACAGCAGCAGUCUGGCUAUAUAUACUUUGGGCUGAAACGCUGCUUUGGACUCUCAAUCUUGACUUGAGGAGUGUGAAUGCCAGCCCAUCACAUUCUAAAUUUCUUCUCUGGUCUUUCUAUAGUUACCAAACUUUGCCCAAAAGUCUAUGAAAACACACCGAAAUAUGUGUAGCUCCUUAAUUUGCUGGAACUAAGUCUUUAUGCUCACUUGCGACUUUCAAAUUAGAUUUAAUAAUUCACCAAGAAAAUUGUCCCAAUGCCUUAACAUCAUUAUUGCCACGGAGCGACGAAGACAUGCCACAGUAAUUCUAUGAAAAAAAGAGCUUGUUUCAUUGACUCUUAUCGGUGUUCAUCGUGGACAAGCAAGUGUGAUGAAAAAUACUACUCAGAUUUCACCUAUUAAAUGAUUGUUUAAUGUUUUUAAGUUGAGAUCAAAACAGCAGCAAUGAUGGUGAGUGCUUCACAGCUACAAAGAUUUUUGACCAAGAUUUCACACCACUGAUGUCAAUACCAAAAUGAAUUGACAGAAUUGAAAUGAACUUGCCAAAUAUGCAAACCAAUUAAACCAUGCACGCUCACUGCAGCUUUAGUGAUGUAUUAUUCACUUGUAGGGACGACAUACACAUGACUUAUAAUUUAACUUAUAAGAUAUUAUAAUUUUAUGUUGUACAAAAUUAGAAAUUUUCCAGUGCGAAUAUGCGUAUUUUACAAUUAAUAUGCAAACAUCUGCUUAGAUUUAGGAUUUGUUAUAUUUGGGUGGGGUUUGUUAAUUACACUCUAAAAAUAUACUUUGAAUAUGCUCUUUUAUUUUACACACUCAUUCAAUAAAUUUUAAAAAUUAAAUUUUAGUCCACACACUCUUUCAAAUACCAAAGUAGUCCUCAGAGAAUCUAAUUCAUUAUCUUUAUUUUUUUGUACAAUCAUGCAAACAACCCUCUCCCAGAUUGAAUAUUUUUUGAAUUGUAAAGAUACAUGAAGAGAAUAAUGAAAAGAAGAGAAUGUCAAUCUUUGAUUGUAUUAUUUAUAAGAAGACGUUCAACCCUUUCUUUUAAUAAGAUAUUACUUCUUUCAAUAAACAUGAAUUAAUCUCCCUUUCAAAAGAGAAAUCUGUAUCAGAGAUACCAUUUUAGAGCUAUCUUAACUGGAGCCGAAUUUAUAUAUUAGUAUCUACAUUUCUUUUUACUGCAUUUUCUUUUGUUUUUGGGAGGGAACUGCAAUUUUGGCAUACACAAUUUUCUUUUUCAAUUCUUCUAGAUGGCAGGUUGAGUAUUUGUUAAAUCUCAAGUAAUUUCAUUUUUUUUAAUUCAAUGAUGAAUUAAAUUUAAAGUUGAGGACAGUAUUAGGGUUUUUGAUAGGAUAAUUUGAUUGGAUGAGUGUGUUAAAUGGUGUGAAGAUUAAUAACAUUUUAUACUUAAAUUUAAUUGUUCUUAUUAGUAAAUUACAUGAAGGAUAUCUUUAUAAUAAAAUAUGUAUUAAAAUUUGAGUGUUUAUAGUAAAUUUUAGAGUGCAAAUAAUCCUACUCUUUAUUUUUUUUUUAUUAUGCAAAAUUUUCAUUCUAUAUUACAUAUUGUAUGAAUCUUAUAACUUUUUGUGUUAUAAUAUAAUGUUAUUUAUAGAUGCUCAAAUAUAUAUCAAAAUUGAAGAAAUAACUAUCAAGAACGAAAUAAUCAUUUCCACCCUUUUAAACUUAAUUUUAUCUUAAAAAGAAAAUCGAGUCAAAUUCUCAAUACUAAAUAUGAUCUCAAAAUAAUAGGGGUCAAGAUCGGCCAGUGAGAUAAUGGGGGAUAAGUUUGAUCAUAGAUAGGGAAAUAGCCUUCUCCCUUCAGAUCAAAUUUGUCAACAGGCUUCUUGCAUUUAGGAUAACACUUUAAAUGUAAUUGCCUUAAUUUCAACCACUUCAUCGUGCGAACAAUAAGUGAGCACAAAUGCAGGUUGAACAUGUACCAAGAGCCACCACAUGAGGAGUUCUUGGCAUUUACAUCUAAAAAUGGUCAAGUGACAAAGGCAUCUCAACCACUUACAAAGCCAUUUCAUACUUAAUAUGGAAAUUUCUUAUCCUUUGCGCGUGAACUCUCUUUAAACAAGUCCCUUCAACAAUUGAUGCUUAUACUUUCACCUUUUUCAUCUUAUCGUCGCCUUUUAAGCCUCCGAUUAACAACCCCCCCCCAAACUUUCCUUAUACUUGCAGUUUCCAUGCAUAUUUAUUUUAUCUUUCUCCAUAAAGUAAGUUAUAACAUAAUUGGUUAAAUUCGUUUGCUAAUUGGAAACUUCAUCUAAAGCAAGGAUUUCUAUCUUUUGUUCUGUAUAAUUCAAAUAAAAAAAAAAAUCGACUUUUUAUAUCAACUCUUGUGUUUUAACUAUAACUAACAUUAGAAUAAAGGUGUAAACUGAAUUAAAUUAGCUUGAACAUAAACAUGAAUUGAUCUUCCCAUUUAUUGACUACAUCAGAACAACUCAAUCUACGUUAAUUAUUUGUUAUAUGAUUGUAUACAAAAACAUCUAUUAAAGUGGUCUGAAAAAAUAAAGAAAAAAUCAUGAACAAAAUCAGGGAUGAAGCUAUGGUAAUGACUACAGUUCUUAUAUCUCCUCUGCAUCCAUUACAAUCCGGCCCCCAGGCCCCCCCCCACACAGCACAACUCAACUCAACGCAAAAAAAAGAAAGGAAGGAUAUUUACAAUUGACCCUACUACUUUAGAAAUUGUAAAUUUUUCCUCAAACAAUAUGCAUGUUUGCACUUUGACUCCAAAAGUUUAGCUAUAUUACUUUUGGCCCCUCGUGAUUUCAUGUUCUGGUCCUGCUCCUAAACACAACAUUAUGAUGAUCUGAUAGCUCCUCUAAAGACCACAUAAAAUUUUGGUUAGCUAGCCCUAUCUUUAGUUAGUCUAAAUCAUGCCUUCAAUAAACGAUUAGUCUGAAUAUGAAGAAAACAAUCAAUGUAGACACUAGACAGUCAAACUUUGCUGCACUAUUAACAUAAACAUUGAAUUAUGAUUGUGCAAUCAACAUUUUAAUAGAUGUUGUGAUCUUCUAAUCCUCCCAAUUUUGGCUAAAAGCUUUUAUAUACUUUCAUGAGUUUGAAGAAAUAAAGAACUACAUAGGAAAUAACACUGUUGGAUCUUGAUUAUAUGCAAAAUGUAUGCCCUCACUGUUGCAAGAUUUUCUAACAUGUUUCAAUGCCGCCCUACUUUGUGUGAACCCUAUAAUUCCACGUUUAGUUGUGCAGUUUAGCUUAUAAUAUAUUUUGUUCAGUCAAUCACGUUUCUUUAAAGUGAAUCUAGAAAAACAAGGAAAUGGAAUUUGAAAGAAUCAUUCCCCCAUAAGCCAAUUCAUUAAAUUAUUAUUAUUUCAGCGUCAAAGUAUGCAUCUUUCUUCCUCUUCCUAUGGCUUUAAACAGUUUAAAUCAUUUGAUUAUUUAAACAUCAACCUCAAGAUCCAUUAUACACGUGUUGACGAUGAGUUGAUUGCACAUAAAUCUAAAGGGAACUUAAAAUUUCAAACUUUGUACUGUUUGAUAAUUAAUAUUAUAUUAUAGCACACAGUAGUUUCCAUUUCACAAGCUUAAAUAAGCAUCUAGAAGUAUUCACUGUUUAGCAGUUGUUUUUACGAAAGCCGCCCUUAAAUAAUAUAGAUUAUGAUUCUCUUGAAAGAAAAAUAAAAGUUAAUUUAGAAAGGAUAAAGUAGCAAGAAUCAUUUUAUUUUGUUUUUUAUUAAAAUUUUUACAAUAUGCCUACACCUUAUAAUUUAGAAUUUAUUGGGAAUCUAGAUACGUACACUUGGUAAUAUAUAUUACAUUCUAAAGGUCUAUUGAGCAUUAGCUCAAAAUUCUACUCCCAUAAAUAUGUAAGGAAAUAUGUCUAUUAUAAAUUUUGAGAAAGUAAACUCUUAUGGGAGCUUGAAUAUGUUGAAAGGCAUGAGUUAUUGUUAUUUGGCCACGGACCCAAUGGUACAAAUUUUAGUUUUUUUUUUAAUUUUAAAUUGUUCAAAUUUUUCCAACUAUUCAGAUAUUUACAACAAACCAGAACUUAGCCGUUAUUUCACAUUAAAGGGAAAGAACCUUUCACUAAAAUUUUUAUGACAAUUGUAUAUCAUUCGCAUAAGUAAAAAGGGCUAAGUUCAAUAAACAAGAACGAGUCUGUUUGGUGAAUUAUUUUCCAAGAAUACUACACUCACUGUCUUUGUAUAGUUUAAUAUAUUGGAAUUGGUAUCGUAUGUACAGUUGGUGGGAUUUAUAUAAAGGAAAAGGGCCCACUCUUUUUGGAAAAAAAAAACUUAUGCCAAUGAUAUACGACUAUCUUUGGAUAAAUUUCCUUCUUUUUUAUUAAUGAUGAAAGGAAAUACUUUGAAUGUUUCCUAUUUGAUGUCUUUUACUAUUAUAAUGUCAUUAUAUGACUGUAGAUUGGUCCUAAUAACGUGACUGCUGCUUAGCUUUUGCCACCUAAACUAUCUAACUGCAUGUGUUAAAAUUCCAUCUUAUUUUGUAUAUAAAGGCAGGAAGAGUUUGUGGAGAAACGCCAACUUGGGUUAUUUAUGUAUUUUCUUUUUCCAGUUUUCUGUAGUGUUUGUUUGAACUAGGUAGCUAUCCUAAAUGAUUGUUUAUUAUUACUAGCUACCGGUUUCACAUUCGCUCUCAUUUUGCCCGUUUCUACUCUCUCGCUUGCUUCUAGCCUUGACCAACAAAAACCUCGUAGGACACAAAAAUGCACACAAUGAGAGCAGCAAGGGCUGCUGGUACAAAGAGAGAGUGCAAUUCCAGUGAAGAAGAUCAACAAGAGCUGAGAAGAGGGCCAUGGACUCUUGAAGAAGACACACUUCUUACUCAUUACAUACAUCAACACGGCGAAGGUCGUUGGAAUAUGGUAGCUAAAUGUGCAGGUAACUAAAUACAUGCAUAAAAGUUUUGUACAUCAUGAUGUCUGUUAUAUAUGUUAGUUACUUAAUUGGCCUGACUUAUAAUUUCAGGACUCAAAAGAACUGGAAAGAGUUGCAGAUUGAGAUGGCUAAAUUAUUUGAAACCCGACAUUAAACGCGGGAACCUAACUCCACAGGAGCAGUUCUUGAUUCUUGAACUCCAUUCUAAGUGGGGUAACAGGUAAAUUAAUAUCCCUAUUAUACAGUACAACACUAGAGUCGGAAUUUUUUUUCUUUUCUGUUGAUGAAGUUCUAAUCGAAUUUAAUUAUGCGAUGUUAAUUGGCAACUUUAGGUGGUCAAAAAUUGCACAAUGUCUGCCUGGGAGAACAGACAAUGAAAUCAAGAAUUAUUGGAGAACAAGGGUGCAGAAACAAGCUCGCCAGCUUAAUAUUGAGUCUAACAGUGAGACAUUUUUCGAAGCUGUUCGAUGUUAUUGGAUGCCAAGAUUGCUGCAAAAGAUGGAGCAGAAUUCUGCUUCUCCUAAUACUCUUUUGACAAAUUCUAGUGCUCAAUCAUCCAACUUUUCUAUUAUCCCUUCUGUUUCGUCAUCAACAUUAUCCCCUCUGCCAAGCACAAUACUUUACAACUCAAAUCAAACCAUUAAUGAAAACUCAAGUUCAGAGACUAGCCCUAACUUUUUCCCUGGAGAUUUUUCAAAAAUCUCACAGCUGCAGCAGCCUGGAAUUACUCAACAGCCAACAAGUCCACAUGCGUAUGGCAACAAUGUCUGCAGCAACCAAAUAGUCCCAAACGACAGUUACUAUGUGGACUGUUGUGGCUUUGACAUGGAAGGUUACAGUCUAACUGAUCCAAUAGCAGAAAUGAGCUCUUAUGACAUAUCCUCGUCCGAAUGCCAGAUGGCUGAAGCUGAUUGGAUGUCCAAUGACAUGUCAGAUGCUUUGUGGAGCAUGGAUGACAUAUGGCAGCUUAGGGAGUAAGCAUAAGCAGAGAUGAGCACAAAGAUAGG
rnacentral:lncRNA from 1 species